CGUGUAGGCGGUCAGGUAAGUGGAAUGUGAAAUGCCCCCGGCUCACCCGGGGGACCGGCAUCCCAAACUGCCUGGCUUGAGUAUGGGAGAGGAUGGAGGAAUUCCUGGUGUAGCGGUGAAAUGCGUAGAUAUCAGGAGGAACACCGGUGGCGAAGGCGUCCAUCUGGCCCAAUACUGACGCUGAGGCGCGAAAGCUAGGGGAGCAAACG
rnacentral:rRNA from 1 species